AGCCCACUAGCUAGCUUGCCUCCUAAAACACAACAAUCCACUAUACCUACCCCCUAACAAGACCUACACACAACAUAGGCCAAACCAUUUUUCCCCCCUAGUAUGGGCGACAGAAAAGGACUAACAAAGCAACAACACCAGUACCGUAAGGGAACGCUGAAAGAGAAAUGAAACAAAUCAGUAAAGCACAACAAAGCAGAGCCUAGCCCUCGUACCUUUUGCAUCAUGAUUUAGCAAGAAAACAUCGAGCGAAGAGAAUUUUAGUUUGAUACCCCGAAACCAAGGGAGCUACUCCAAGACAGCCUCUAAGGGCACACCCGUCUCUGUGGCAAAAGAGUGGGAAGAUCUUCGAGUAGAGGUGACAGACCUACCGAACUUGGUUAUAGCUGGUUGCUCAGGAAAUGAAUAGGAGUUCAGCCUUUUGUCUUCUUUCCGCACAACGCAGCUAUACUGACAAGCGCUUAAGAACAGACAAUAGAGUUAGUCAGAGGGGGUACAGCCCCUUUGAAAGAGAGACAACUUUUAUAGAAGGGUUAGGAUCACAUCACUCAUUUAAGGGAACGUGUUCUAGUUGGCCUAAGAGCAGCCAUCCACACAGAAAGCGUUAAAGCUCAGACAUUCCCCACCCCUAUUAUUUAGACCACCCAAUCUUACCCCCCUAAACACACUGAGCCUUCCCAUACCCCUAUGGGAGAGAUUAUGCUAAUAUGAGUAAUAAGAGAUCUCGCAUCUCUCCCCGCACAAGUGUAAAUCGGAACGAACUGACACCGAAAAUUAACGGCCCCAACAAGAGGGCACCGAACUAUUAUGGCCAGGCCACUAGAAAACCAUUCACCUUGCCAAACCGUUGACCUUACACUAGGGUGCAUUUAGGGAAAGACUAAAAGGAAGAGAAGGAACUCGGCA
rnacentral:rRNA from 1 species